GUUACCUACGGGGGGCAGCAGUGGGGGAUAUUGCACAAUGGGGGGAACCCUGAUGCAGCGACGCCGCGUGGGCGAUGGAGUGCUUCGGCAUGUAAAGCCCUAUCAGCAGGGAAGAAAAUGACGGUACCUGACUAAGAAGCCCCGGCUAAAUACGUGCCAGCAGCCGCGGUAAUACGUAUGGGGCAAGCGUUAUCCGGAUUUACUGGGUGUAAAGGGAGCGUAGACGGUGCGCCAAGUCUGGAGUGAAAUGCCGCAGCUUAACUGCGGAACUGCUUUGGAAACUGGCGAACUAGAGUGCGGGAGGG
rnacentral:rRNA from 1 species